rnacentral:rRNA from 1 species
UACGUAGGGCGCAAGCGUUAUCCGGAAUUAUUGGGCGUAAAGAGCUCGUAGGCGGUUUGUCGCGUCUGCCGUGAAAGUCCGGGGCUCAACUCCGGAUCUGCGGUGGGUACGGGCAGACUAGAGUGAUGUAGGGGAGACUGGAAUUCCUGGUGUAGCGGUGAAAUGCGCAGAUAUCAGGAGGAACACCGAUGGCGAAGGCAGGUCUCUGGGCAUUAACUGACGCUGACGAGCGAAAGCAUGGGGAGCGAACAGG